UAUGGAGAGUUUGAUCCUGGCUCAGGACGAACGCUGGCGGCGUGCCUUACACAUGCAAGUCGUGCGAGAACGGUUCCUUCGGGAACCUAGUAGAGCGGCGAACGGGUGAGUAAUACGUGAGCGAUCUGCCCGAAGGUGGGGGAUACCCCAGGGAAACCUGGACCAAUACCGCGUACAGCGUCGGGAGUGGAUGCCCGACGUGAAAGCCGGCCUCUUCUAUGCUGGCGCCUUCGGAUGAGCUCGCGGCCUAUCAGCUUGUUGGUGGGGUAACGGCCUACCAAGGCAACGACGGGUAGCUG
rnacentral:rRNA from 1 species